CGUUCAAACGAGCGAACGACCAUGCGACGCAGUGCCAGGCGGUUAUGGGCGGUCAGCAUACACAAAUAUUACAACGAAUGAACGAACGGCCGACUACGACGACCCUUCUUCGCGAUGGCCACCGCUAAAAAUACCACGGUUGGCGUGAAUAGGUCGUGCAGUUUUUACGUGCAUCGCCUUAUGACAUCUAUUACCGUAGAGUAAGAAGCGCCGCUUCAGUAUCGCUAGCCAAUAUCUCGGAGUACCGUUAGCAGCGAAAUACGCUGUACCCAGAUAGAGCGACAACAGUAGCUGUUUGCGCCCGCAUGGAACGGCACUUGACGUUGUCUAUGCGCGACACGUGGACACUCGUGACUAUGGUGACGGAUGUCGCAGUAGACAGUGUCUAUAGGCGCUUCAGGUUCGGAAGUUGUGAAGCACUUCAAGCCUUCAAUGGCCUGCCCAGAAAAUAUACUAGAUGCUUUUUUGUGGAGUGACGCAUCACGGCCAACUAUUAGUCACUUCUAGUAACCAUCUGACCUUAUUUUAUUAUUUGUCGUAACUAGACACAGAUCCGAGGAAGACUAUUGCGUCAAAGCAGGCUUUUCCUAGGCAUUCGAGAGGACUGAUCGGACGCGUUGGGUUGCGUAGGGUUAACGCGUAAUAGACGGCGGUAUUAUGUAGAUAUUAGACAAGGAGAUGCGGGUGUCACGAAUGAUUAUUACUACUUUCCACGGCCGGAACAGGCUCAACGGUCGAGAUGGUGAGGAUGCACUUAGUAUAUUAGUUGGAAAAAUAAAUGUUUCGACCUUGACGUCCGGUAAUUGAGACGUGAAGUAUUGCGUCAGACGGCUGGCUCCGAACACGAAGUGAAAUAUGUCUGUGCCCGGUUUCGAACUUAAGCCAUCUCUUGUUUCGAAGUUCAGCAACGAACACGUCGCGUGUGCAGUAUUAUAAGGACAUAAUUACGAUAGUUUAAAGCUUAAUACGUCAAACAAGAGGCAGAAAAGGAAAUCGUCGACGAACAUAAAUAUUGACUUAUUACCAGCGAACACGGAAAACAAGUUCCCCGUACACUGGAGUUUAUAGAACAAAUCUAUUCAUGUUAUAUUAUAAUGGCAAACAUCGACUUUUCCUCGCACAGUUUUACUUUGUACGGUAAGGUGUACGGUAGAUAAGGGACGUGAUGUGAAACCAGAGACCGGUGCUCUAGAGGCAAAUUGCCCUUGGAAUAGGACCCGAGUGCACGUCGUGACCUUCGAUAUUAAAGAUAAGUUUUUUUUUCGCAUUCAUGUCAUAGCGUAUUUUGUUGGUAUGAAAAGCGUUCCUUGUCCAAGGCAUCGUUCCGAAUAGCAGAAACGAGAAUGCCAUUUGCUUUACACACACGGGAAAAGCCUGUCUAAUUUUAAAAGCCUACAAUGGAACCUAUAUCAUAGCCUCGUUAGAUCGGUCCACUUUGCCACAUAGUUAUCCAUGCAUAGGGUCGCAGCCCGACUAUCGAUAGUUUCUCUACAGCGUAUUCCAGAAAAUCGCAUUUGUUUUAACAAGCAGCAAUGUGCUGUCUCAGUAUUCAAUUAAAUAACAAGAAAUUUAUCAAGGUUCCGUUACUACGUUCUAGAGACUUUUGUACCGUCAUUACUCACUGAUAUGACAUUACUAAGGAGGUGUAAUUUCCGGUCAGAUAGGUUUCAAUGUAGUAGGACACGACGAGGGUACUUAUCGAAUAUUGUCAUUUUGAAUCAUAUUAUAUUUGAAAUUGUGCCAUACUUAACGGGAUUUUUCGCAUUUGUCUCCCCGGUAUCUUCAUCUUGAAAGAGACUUUCGUAUCGAUGUGCAUAUGUAGAGUCGCUUUAAAGACCUUGCAGGUCCUCCAAACUCUACAGCACAGCGAAAUCAAUGAUGUACAAUGUGUCCAGAUUUCGGCUAUUAAAUCUAUAAUAAUCUCUCCUCCUAAGUAACGCAAAAAAAAACGUACAUUUAUAAGUCGAUGUUCAAAUUGUAACAGGACAGUCAUGGCUCGAUAAUGUAAUAGUGGGACAAAAUUUGCAUCAAAUACUUUUGCAUGGGAUGUUCAGGUGCCUUUUUUGAGACUCUUUUCUCAGGGAGCUCAAAGCCUAUCAGAGCACCAUUAGGUUUUUUAAAAAUAAGUUCUUAGCGAGGUUUGCUUUCAUAAGUAGUCAUUUCAUUCGGUUAAUCCUUGACUUUUGAACUAAGUAGUAGAUACGUUUUUCUAUAAUUUAUCAAGAAUACCGGCGGGUUGACAAAUCAAUAUUUAACUGGUAACACGUCAAAGAAAUCGUUCGAAGUAAGUAGGUGUCGGCUAUGGCAUACAGUUAGAAUAGUCAUACGCCUCUUUCAAGGUUCCUUCCAAGUUGAAUAACGUUAUACGAAUCAAUUUAGUUGAAAAUGCCCAAAAGCUGUAGUAAAGCCUUGAGUGUCAUUGUAAUAAUUCAUCAAGUUCCAGUCACGUAUGUUUUUAUCAGGUACCUGAACCAACCAACAAUUAUAGGACCAACAAUGGCGCAGACGUAAUACUGUUUCUCGUGGAGUAAUGCCUCAAGCAUCUAACAUGAGUUCUCUUUUAAACAUUAACUUAACUUUUAAAGGGGAAUGGAGAUGAUCUUUGGUGCUAGCAUACAUUAGCACCAAGGCGGUAACGUCACGAGGAACUGAAUUAGCGGGAACUAAGAAAUAUUAGCGCCGAGACGAAUAACUUCGAUGCUCGAAUACAAAUCUGCUUCUAAGAGGUGUGAUUUAUUCAUUAACUUAUAGGAGGUAUGAUAUGUGCUAGUUCACUCGAGAAAAACAACAGAUUGAGUAAAAGAUCAGUUGGUAAAUUACAAGUCAUUAGGGCAUUUAGGCCACAGAUAUACAAUAUCUCUAUGUAAUACGAUAAGGCCGAUUCAAGUAGCUUAAGUGCAGAGGCUCUCCAAGCUGCAUAUUUCCUUUACGUACCUUUUAUGGUUGAUUACUUGCGUCAUUUAGUAGAGCUAGAGCACUAAGACUGGAAUAAACAUAAGAAAGAUAUGUACGAAGGAAAGCGUAUGCUGAAAUCCAGUACGCAAGAAAUAUGGCUACGUCACAACAAUGGAAAAAGUUGAGCGUAGCCUUCGGCUGGCUGAAGCGGCUUGGGAAUUUUGUUCAGCAACCAGUUCAAUAAAUCUAUAGCUUUAGACGAGCGAUUUGUGACCCUCUAAUUCACUAUCCAAGUACUUGCUCAUUUCUCAUUUACUAUUCACGAGAUCACUAUGGCUCGUUAAUGGGCGAAACGAAAAUUUCAUUAUAUCGUGCACACGCGCAACAAGUCAACAAUCGAACGGACUCAUUUUCACGAUGCCCCAAAGGAAGAACAUAACGUAAUAACGUUCGUACAUCGUCCUUACAGAGAGAUGUCACAUUAGUCUAAUAUUACUCAUUAUGAUUACUUCAGAUUCAGGGAAAGACAUCAAACACUCAACUGACAGCUGUCGAAAAUCACAGUCUAGCUCGCUAACAUUAGCAAACUCACACUGUAUUUGAUAUAAUAUUCUAAGACCGUCUAAUUAUAAGUUUGUGAUACGUUGGAAUUUUUUUUUGGCCAAUACAACAUACUUGAGAACCAUACGUUGUCCUUCGAAUUGAAUGAACGUCCAAUGGAAGUCAACUUUGUUUGCCAUUUCUUGUUGGUAAAACGUUCCUUGGCCUCACUCACAGUGACUCAUAGCAGAACUUCACUCCCGUUUAGGAGCCGAGAUCGAAACUAGGCUUAUCAGCUUUAAAAUUGAUGUCAGUGCUUCUCAGCAAAUAGACCGCCAAAAGCUAGCGUUAAUUUUACUUCAGUUAUAGACAUGAGAUUGAUGCGUGAGGCUGCAAACUCCGUUAGAAGUGUUACAUGCAGCCGCGAUAAUCCCCUCUGCAAGGAACGCCCAUACGCUUUACGGCCCGUUAGCUCUGAACACAACACACGGACGAGUUACGGUUCGUUUGUAUAGAAGCACUUCAUCUAAUAGGAGCACACGAGUUGGGACUCAUGUGGCCCAUAUGGGUAUUAAUGUAGCUCUACUUAUACCAGAAGGAGUGCCCGAAUACAAUUCGCUUUUCCAAGGUACACAUAAACCUAUAUCAAUAAUGACGAUCAUGAUGUUACUUAUAUUAAAAGGACUAAUAUAACGAGGCUUAAGUUCACAUCGCAGAGGUACCUCAAUGGUUGAGGAAACUAACGCAUCAGCAGUCUCCUAUAUCUCGCAAGAUCGGAAACCCUACCAGUAUGUAUCAGUCGAGCUUUGCGAACAGAAAGAAGUCGCUAGACUUUGAACGCAUAACAAUGCAAGCGAUUACACGAAAAAUGUAAGAAAAGGUUGACCAUUUGAACUUACUAUUGGUUUUCGUUCCGAUGCAUCGGAUCGUGAAUUCAUUAAGUUUACUUCAUCAAGAUUUUCAUCAUUUUUUCAUUACAGCUCUUCAUGAACAGGAAGAUAUUAAUGGUUGUCAGUCUGGCUGGCUGCUAUUGAAUUGCACGUCGUGCAGAUAAAAUUGCUCCGGUCUGAAUCAGUAACCGAGAUGAUUUGCUCUUGAUACUGUGUGUGUGUGGCACCAUGCUGAGCUCAUACUGAUCCGGGGGCGCUGUUUUCCUACUAUGACCUUUAAAAAGGCUCGAGCGAUUGCUGUGAUAUUUGUGGAAAGGACAAAAGUUUUAACUGGUAGCCCUUGAAUUUUAAAAAUAAUCCCACACUAAGACUAUCUACUGUUAUUUGCUCCAAUUGCAGUUGCUCUAACACUAAGUGUACUAGCCUGUUUUUGUUUAAUGUGACGUCAUGUAAACCAUUACUUAUUGUACAUAUUCUAACUACAAUACUAGAAUUGUUUGAAGAGCCACAAAAGUUGUCUGUGGGAGUUUAUCGGAUUGUAGGAUUCAGCUAACAAAUUCACAGGCUCAAAUAAACAUACGAGCCUAUUUAAAAACACCGGUUGCUACAUAAUCUCGAGCAGUCCGCGGUAAAUUGAUUGAUCUAUGCGAGCAAUUACUCCAAAAACAAUGUCUUAUGACAUUAAAUUGAUCAUAUCAAAUUUAGUAACCGGGUAUCGGGCAACUUACCUUAUCCAAUGAUAAGAUCCUUUUCACAAAUUCUCGAAAUAAACUUGAACUUUCGUAGCAUAUGUGCAACAACGAUUUUUGAUCAGUGUUCCCUUCUGAUAGUUUUAAACUUCACAUCUCUAACUAUUCCUGGAACUUAACUUAUCGGAUGCACCCGAAAUGCUUCACUGUAAGAUCUACGAUAGAGCGACGUACACUAACCUCUAAUAUCCUAUAGCAGCCCAAACCAUACAAAUGACAAUGUCAGACUUUUCUUUCUAUAUAAUAAGCGUACAAUAUUUCAAUGGGACCAAUUGUCCUUCCGCCAAUCACUUGUCAGUUUUUUUCAGGCUAUUCAGGUUCUCGGUAGUCGAUUCGAUCGGACCGAUGUCAUCUGCUUUCGGAUUUUUCGAUCUCAGCGGCUCACUCCGAUUUCCCGCGUCUCUGUCGUCUGCCUCGCCAUCCCGCUGCUAAGUCAGCGUGUUUUGUAUGCCAUAAGAGGCUAAUAUGAAGAUGAUACAUGCAUAAUACAUCUGAAGUCACGACGCUGUUGCAUGAAUGCCAUCGAUCUAUUACUAUGGCGUCUGUGUGUCGUUAGACAUCGCCCUAUUCCUGAAGAGGCUACCUAACCCAAUCUAAUUUUUUUAAGCGGUCCAAAUUUGACUGCUGCUGUUAUUGUCGUGGCAACUCUGAGACAUGGGUGCCCGCACAAUCCGAUAUGUAACCAGAAAUUAAUUCUCUUUGUUGUUGAUCACUGCGGAUCUCCUGGCUAAAUAUACGUAUCCUAACCAGAUCCACGUCGUAACCCUUCGCCGUUAGAGGAGCUGGGACCAGCAGUACAGCAAACGCGAUCGCGUUCUGUGGCGCGGAUCUAUUCGCGACACAAUAGCCUUCCGCUUCGAUGGGACCCCCAGAUAGAUGUGCUACGAGAUGCAACAAGAAUCAUCUCAACAAUGUUACAUCAAAAACUGCAUUGAGAAGAUAUAGGGAGACGAGCUUAGACCUGCCUGUCACUCGGCUAAAUGCUCACUCAUUGGCCAAUACCGAAUAUUCCUCGGUGUUCAAGGGCAGCGAUGGCUUAAAAGGUAUAUAGUACUAAAAUAAACCUGUCCUAAGCCGAUCGUAUGCUACUACGUACUGCUAUCUAAUAACCUUGUACAAGUAGGGGCUUACGUUCUACCACCUAAGGCUGUAACUUCUCCAUUCAUACUGAUAUUUAUGUACCGAUUCAAAGUAGCUAUUGUUUACUUCUGUAGAUCUGACAAUUGAAGCUAUUCGUCAUUUUACUGCUGGUUAGUAUGAAUAAUUCCUAUUUUAAUUUGAUUCAUAAAAUAUUGGUCAGUUAUGCCGACUAGUGAACUGCUGAGACCCAGCUUGCGGCUAUAGUAUUCAAUAUAUAAAUAAUUAUUAUUAUUGAGAAAUAUUUACUGUUCAUUUUUCUAUAUAAACUGAAGUCUUCGUAUGCAUGUCACAUGUGAUAUGAAAAAACUUAGAUAAAGUUGAUGAUUUUCUUCCGAAACGGUCUAAAUUUCUUCUGAGACAUUUUGUCUGUAAGUAAUUAACGAAGCGUGUGUUACUAAUCUAUUAAGUUACAUUGUAAUUUCAACAAAGUUGUAAUAUCAAAGAGAUUUUGAAGGACAUACGCUCCUAGCAAAUGAGAUUACGUGCCUAUUAUAAAGCUGUUCAUAGGAAGUAAAACACGGCCUUCGCAGAGUUUAUGCUGCAAUCCAUCGGUAACAAACAAUUUUUGAAUUAAGUAAAGACAUAUAAUACAUACAUGCAUAUUUCAUUAUCCAGCUAUAGCCAUUUAUUGCAACUUAGGUAUACGUACGCUAUACCGGGACACUCAAUCCAUAUUGUAAAAAGAGGUUUUCCGUGAAAACGGCAUUAUUCCGUUAGAGCCAGUGUAGGAUCUUUUUUUCGCCUUAAUCUGUUUUUGUUACUCGUCUAUUACAGAUGAUAACCGUGCAAGUUUAUGAAAAUGCGUACACUUAUGUGUUUCAAUUUUUUUUAUUAAAAAAGAAAAAGAAAUACCCCUAAUUUAGGGCCUCAAAGCAAAAAGCAGAUCGUUCGUACAGGUCGCAUCCGAUACCUUGUCUUACCUAGGAUUUAUUUAGCCUCGGAGCCUUGUACAGUAUAGUUGAAAUUUCAAGGUCAUCAGUUUCUCAAUAAUAAAUCUAUUUCACACGAAGUGAAUUUGAAUAUGUUCAAGUCGGCAAAAGGAGUCCUUUAAUUACAGACUCCAAAGGAAAAUUACAUGGUUAUUUUAUGCAAAAGCUAUAGCUGCUUAAAUGUAGGUUUUUCGCAAAAAUCGAUCGACAGGACACCAGUUAAAUUGGAAGAGUCUCAUUUCCUAGCCUGCAAGUUGACUACAUCUUCCUAAGUUUUUGUUCGAAGGUUUGAUACUUUUAGAACUUCAUUCGGACUUUACAUUUUUUGAAAACAGACGCUCAGCGAUUUUUUUUGGGUAUCAAGAGUAUCCUGGAUAAGCUUAAACGACUAGAAUUAAUUAGAGAGUUGUUGGAAAAACACUGCUUGUACCAUAUAGUAAACGAGAAAAUCGGUUAUUAUGUUUGCACCAUAAAGACUUAUAACCAUAAAGCAUUUUUAAAUGUGAUUUUCCUUUUUGAGUCAAAGCUUUUAGC